rnacentral:lncRNA from 1 species
UGUGGCAGCGGUUCCAGUGCUCAGCCUUAAAUAAGCAAAGGGCCUCUAAGUGCUUGUCAGAUUCCAUGUGUGCUCGCACAGCUUUGGCCUCGUGGAUCCAUUUGGCAGGUACACGGAGCUUCUGGGUAAGGAAAGUCUCUUUAGCCCAAGAUUCAGGGGUCUCCUACCGGUUUUCCAGCCAACAGAGCAAAGAUGCGCAGUCUCUCAUCCUGGAUGAAGGAGUCUGCUUGGAGCUGAUGCCAGUCCACCAACUGCAUGGUGAGCAGCUCCCGG